CAGCCGCCACGGGAAUACGUAGGGUGCAAGCGUUAAUCGGAAUUACUGGGCGUAAAGCGUGCGCAGGCGGUUAUAUAAGACAGAUGUGAAAUCCCCGGGCUCAACCUGGGAACUGCAUUUGUGACUGUAUAGCUAGAGUACGGCAGAGGGGGAUGGAAUUCCGCGUGUAGCAGUGAAAUGCGUAGAUAUGCGGAGGAACACCGAUGGCGAAGGCAAUCCCCUGGGCCUGUACUGACGCUCAUGCACGAAAGCGUGGGGAGCAAACAGGAUUAGAUACCCGUGUAGUCCCUGUCUCUUAUAC
rnacentral:rRNA from 1 species